UAGGGAAUAUUAGUAAUGGGCGAAAGCCUGAACUAGCAACGCCGCGUGUGCGAAGAAGGCCUUCGGGUUGUAAAGCACUUUUUGAGAGGAUGAGGAAGGACGGUACUCUCAGAAUAAGUCUCGGCUAACUACGUGCCAGCAGCCGCGGUAACACGUAGGAGGCGAACGUUAUCCGGAUUUAAUGGGCGUAAAGCGCGUGUAGGUGGGUUGGUAAGUAGGGCGUGAAAGCUCCCGGCUCAACUGGCAGAGGCCGUUCUAAACUGCCAAGCUAGAGGAUGGUAGAGGGAGAUGGAAUUCCGUGUGUAGCGGUUGAAUGCGCAGAUAUCCGGCAGAACACCAGUGGCGAAGGCGGCCUCCUGGUCCACUCCUGACACUCAGACGCGAAAGCUAGUGUAGCAAACGG
rnacentral:rRNA from 1 species